AACGAACGCUGGCGGCAUGCCUAACACAUGCAAGUCGAACGAGACCUUCGGGUCUAGUGGCGCACGGGUGCGUAACGCGUGGGAACCUGCCCUUAGGUUCGGAAUAACUCCCCGAAAGGGGUGCUAAUACCGGAUAAUGUCUUCUGACCAAAGAUUUAUCGCCUUUGGAUGUGCCCGCGUUGGAUUAGCUUGUUGGUAGGGUAAAAGCCCACCAAGGCGACGAUCCAUAGCUGGUCUGAGAGGAUGAUCAGCCACACUGGGAGUGAGACACGGCCCAGACUCAUACGGGAGGAAGGAGUGGGGAAUAUUGGAAAAUGGGCGAAAGCAUGAUCCAGCAAUGCCGGGUGAGUGAUGAAGGCCUUAGGGUUGUAAAGCUCUUUUAAACGGGAUGAUAAUGACAGUACCGGGAGAAUAAGCACCGGCUAACUACGUG
rnacentral:rRNA from 1 species